rnacentral:rRNA from 1 species
UGGGCGUAAAGCGCGCGUAGGCGGUUUGAUAAGCUGGAUGUGAAAGCCCCGGGCUCAACCUGGGAACUGCAUCCAGAACUGUCUGACUAGAAUACAAUAGAGGUGAGUGGAAUUUCCUGUGUAGCGGUGAAAUGCGUAGAUAUAGGAAGGAACAUCAGUGGCGAAGGCGACUCACUGGAUUGAUAUUGACGCUAAGGUGCGAAAGCGUGGGGAGCGAACAGGAUUAGAUACCCUGGUAGUCCACGCCGUAAACGAUGUCUACUAGCCGUUGGGAUCCUUGAGGUCUUGGUGGCGCAGCUAACGCAAUAAGUAGACCGCCUGGGGAGUACGGCCGCAAGGUUAAAACUCAAAUGAAUUGACGGGGGCCCGCACAAGCGGUGGAGCAUGUGGUUUAAUUCGAUGCAACGCGAAGAACCUUACCAGGUCUUGACAUCCCGAGAAGUCGCUAGAGAUAGCUUCGUACCUUCGGGAACUCGGUGACAGGUGCUGCAUGGCU